rnacentral:rRNA from 1 species
CCUACGGGAGGCAGCAGUGAGGAAUAUUGGUCAAUGGGCGCUAGCCUGAACCAGCCAAGUAGCGUGCAGGAUGACGGCCCUAUGGGUUGUAAACUUCUUUUAUAUAAGAAUAAAGUUCAGUAUGUAUACUGCUUUGCAUGUACCUUAUGAAUAAGGAUCGGCUAACUCCGUGCCAGCAGCCGCGGUAAUACGGAGGAUCCGAGCGUUAUCCGGAUUUAUUGGGUUUAAAGGGAGCGUAGGCGGGUUGUUAAGUAAGUGGUGAAAGUUUGCGGCUCAACCGUAAAAUUGCAGUUGAUACUGGCGUUCUUGAGAGCAGUAGAGGUAGGCGGAAUGCGUGGUGUAGCGGUGAAAUGCUUAGAUAUCACGAAGAACUCCGAUUGCGAAGGCAGCCUGCUGGACUGUAACUGACGCUGAUGCUCGAAAGUGUGGGUAUCAAACAGGAUUAGAUACCCGGGUAGUC